GACGAACGCUGGCGGCGUGCUUAACACAUGCAAGUCGAACGGAAAGGCCCUGCUUUUGUGGGGUGCUCGAGUGGCGAAAGGGUGAGUAACACGUGAGUAACCUGCCCUUGACUUUGGGAUAACUUCAGGAAACUGGGGCUAAUACCGGAUAGGAGCUCCUGCUGCAUGGUGGGGGUUGGAAAGUUUCGGCGGUUGGGGAUGGACUCGCGGCUUAUCAGCUUGUUGGUGGGGUAGUGGCUUACCAAGGCUUUGACGGGUAGCCGGCCUGAGAGGGUGACCGGCCACAUUGGGACUGAGAUACGGCCCAGACUCCUACGGGAGGCAGCAGUGGGGAAUAUUGCACAAUGGGCGGAAGCCUGAUGCAGCAACGCCGCGUGCGGGAUGACGGCCUUCGGGUUGUAAACCGCUUUCGCCUGUGACGAAGCGUGAGUGACGGUAAUGGGUAAAGAGGCACCGGCUAACUACGUG
rnacentral:rRNA from 1 species